UACUGAAUUGUCAACACGAGUUGUUGCUGGUCCUCAAAUGGGGGCAUGUGCACGCUCUGUUCACACAUCCACUCACACCUGUGCACCCUCUGUAGUUCUGUGGCUUGGGGGGCUCUGUCCUCCUGCUGUGGUUCUAUAUCUUUACACACACUCUGUAAUAAAGUCUCAUGGAAUGUAUGCCGCGUUUAACGCAAUAUAAUACAACUUUCAGCAACGGAUCUCUUGGCUCUCGCAUCGAUGAAGAACGCAGCGAAAUGCGAUAAGUAAUGUGAAUUGCAGAAUUCAGUGAAUCAUCGAAUCUUUGAACGCACCUUGCGCCCUUUGGCUAUUCCGAAGGGCAUGCCUGUUUGAGUAUCAUGAACACCUCAACUCUCAUGGUUNGCCAUGAUGAGCUUGGACUUUGGGGGUCUUGCUGGCCUGUGGUCGGCUCCUCUCAAACNCAUCAGCUUUCCAGUGUUUGGUGGCAUCACAGGUGUGAUAACUAUCUACGCUUGUGGUUUUCUGCCAGGUAACCUUCAGCAAUGGGGGUUUGCUGGGGCUCAUAAAUGUCUCUCCUCGGUGAAGACACCUUUGUGAACAUUUGAUCUCAAAUCA
rnacentral:rRNA from 1 species